rnacentral:rRNA from 1 species
UGGGGAAUAUUGCACAAUGGGCGCAAGCCUGAUGCAGCCAUGCCGCGUGUAUGAAGAAGGCCUUCGGGUUGUAAAGUACUUUCAGCGGGGAGGAAGGUGUUGUGGUUAAUAACCUCAGCAAUUGACGUUACCCGCAGAAGAAGCACCGGCUAACUCCGUGCCAGCAGCCGCGGUAAUACGGAGGGUGCAAGCGUUAAUCGGAAUUACUGGGCGUAAAGCGCACGCAGGCGGUCUGUCAAGUCAGAUGUGAAAUCCCCGGGCUCAACCUGGGAACUGCAUCCGAAACUGGCAGGCUUGAGUCUUGUAGAGGGGGGUAGAAUUCCAGGUGUAGCGGUGAAAUGCGUAGAGAUCUGGAGGAAUACCGGUGGCGAAGGCGGCCCCCUGGACAAAGACUGACGCUCAGGUGCGAAAGCGUGGGGAGCAAACA